rnacentral:rRNA from 1 species
GCAAGUCGAACGGUAACAGGGAAAAGCUUGCUUUUUUGCUGACGAGUGGCGCACGGGUGCGUAACGCGUAUACAAUCUACCUUUUACAGGGGGAUAGCCUUUAGAAAUGAAGAUUAAUACCCCAUAGCAUUUAAUGUAUGCAUAUAUAUUAAAUUAAAGUUUCGGCGGUAAAAGAUGAGUAUGCGUUCUAUUAGCUAGAUGGUAUGGUAACGGCAUACCAUGGCAACGAUAGAUAGGGGCCCUGAGAGGGGGAUC